GUGAGGAAUUUUCCGCAAUGGGCGAAAGCCUGACGGAGCAAUGCCGCGUGAAGGAUGAAGGCCUAUGGGUUGUAAACUUCUUUUCUCAGAAAAGAAUUAUGACGGUAUCUGAGGAAUAAGCAUCGGCUAACUCUGUGCCAGCAGCCGCGGUACGACAGAGGAUGCAAGCGUUAUCCGGAAUGAUUGGGCGUAAAGCGUCUGUAGGUUGUUUAAAAAGUAUUCUGUCAAAGAUUAGGGCUUAACCCUAGAUAGGCAGAAUAAACUUUUAAGCUAGAGUGUGGUAGAGGCAGAGGGAAUUCCCGGUGGAGCGGUGAAAUGCGUAGAUAUCGGGAGGAACACCAAAGGCGAAGGCACUCUGCUGGGCCAAUACUAACACUGAGAGACGAAAGCGAGGGGAGCAAAUGGGAUUAGAAACCCGUGUAGUCC
rnacentral:rRNA from 1 species